GGCGGCGCCCGCGAGGGUGCCCGCCGGUCUCAUCAGAAUCUCUGUUUUCGAACCCGACGAUACUUCUGAGUGUUCUUAGCGAACUGUCAAAACUUUUAACAACGGAUCUCUUGGCUCCAGCAUCGAUGAAGAACGCAGCGAAACGCGAUAUGUAAUGUGAAUUGCAGAAUUCAGUGAAUCAUCGAAUCUUUGAACGCACAUGGCGCCUUCCAGUAUCCUGGGAGGCAUGCCUGUCCGAGCGUCGUUUCAACCCUCGAGCCCCCGUGGCCCGGCGUUGGAGAUCUGCCACGGCAGUCUCCUAAAAUCAGUGGCGGACCCGAAGGCCCUCUCCUUUGCGCAGUAGCAUCAGCCUCGCAUUGGGAUCCCUCGGCGUCCUGCCUCUAAACCCCCCACAAGCCCGCUCCGGCGGCACCAAGGUUGACCUCGGAUCAGGUAGGAAUACCCGCUGAACUUAAGCAUAU
rnacentral:rRNA from 1 species